GCCUGGUUGGCUCAAUUGGUAGAGCACAUGACUUGAUCUUGAGGUUGUGAGUUCAAGCCUCACAUUGGGCA